rnacentral:rRNA from 1 species
UGGGGAAUAUUGGACAAUGGGCGAAAGCCUGAUCCAGCCAUGCCGCGUGUGUGAAGAAGGUCUUCGGAUUGUAAAGCACUUUAAGUUGGGAGGAAGGGUUGUAGAUUAAUACUCUGCAAUUUUGACGUUACCGACAGAAUAAGCACCGGCUAACUCUGUGCCAGCAGCCGCGGUAAUACAGAGGGUGCAAGCGUUAAUCGGAAUUACUGGGCGUAAAGCGCGCGUAGGUGGUUUGUUAAGUUGGAUGUGAAAUCCCCGGGCUCAACCUGGGAACUGCAUUCAAAACUGACUGACUAGAGUAUGGUAGAGGGUGGUGGAAUUUCCUGUGUAGCGGUGAAAUGCGUAGAUAUAGGAAGGAACACCAGUGGCGAAGGCGACCACCUGGACUGAUACUGACACUGAGGUGCGAAAGCGUGGGGAGCAAACA